rnacentral:rRNA from 1 species
UACGUAGGGGGCAAGUGUUAUCCGGAAUUACUGGGUGUAAAGGGAGCGUAGACGGUAAUGUAAGUCUGGAGUGAAAGGCGGGGGCCCAACCCCCGGACUGCUCUGGAAACUAUGUUACUAGAGUGCAGGAGAGGUAAGCGGAAUUCCUAGUGUAGCGGUGAAAUGCGUAGAUAUUAGGAGGAACACCAGUGGCGAAGGCGGCUUACUGGACUGUAACUGACGUUGAGGCUCGAAAGCGUGGGGAGCAAACAGG